CAUCACGUUGAAACACCGGUUAUCAUACGAUCACCGAAGUUAAGCAACCCCCGGAUCUAUUCAGUACCUAGAUGGGUGACCACUUCGAAUACAAGGUGCUGUAA